GUCUGACUGAUGCUAAAUAGAAUGAAAGUGGUGACAGGAACUGUGAAGUAUCAGUGGUCCUUUCACCACUGAGCUGGUGACUCAGCACUGGCCAGCAGCAAAUUUCAAUAAAUCAAACCACUAACUGGACCCACGGGGCAGCCAUGGGCAGAGUGUUUCUCAUUACAGCUUUGUAAGUCUGCAAUGAGCUGAUUGACAGUUUGGAAAACGGCCCGGGAAUAAUCUCCAAACAUUUCAGUUGAUAUAUCAGCAUCUUAAUCUCCUUCUUAAAUAAUGGGACACCUCCAUAAAACAUGACAAAAGCCUGAGCAUGCAUGAAUAAUCCUUCACGGUGACAGCAGAAGGAAGGGAGCCAUGGGCAUUGAUCGUAGCUGUGAUUGUAAGGAGGCACUGGAUUGAGUCGCACAAUCACCAGCAAUUACAUUGAUUGGAUGAAUCUUCAAUGGAGCAUCAUGGCUAAACAAAGAGGAAGCAGUUGGAGA